GACGAACGCUGGCGGCGUGCUUAACACAUGCAAGUCGAGCGGAAAGGCCCUUUCGGGGGUGCUCGAGCGGCGAACGGGUGAGUAACACGUGAGUAACCUGCCCUUCACUCUGGGAUAGCCACCGGAAACGGUGAUUAAUACCGGAUACGACCAAUCCCUGCAUGGGGUGGUGGUGGAAACUUUUUGGGUGGGGGAUGUGCUCGCGGCCUAUCAGCUUGUUGGUGGGGUAAUGGCCUACCAAGGCUUCGACGGGUAGCCGGCCUGAGAGGGUGACCGGCCACACGGGGACUGAGACACGGCCCAGACUCCUACGGGAGGCAGCAGUGGGGAAUAUUGGACAAUGGGCGGAAGCCUGAUCCAGCAACGCCGCGUGAGGGAUGACGGCCUUCGGGUUGUAAACCUCUUUCAGCACCGACGAAGCGAUCCUUUUUGGGGAGUGACGGUAGGUGCAGAAGAAGGACCGGCCAACUACGUGCCAGCCGCCGCCGUAAAAC
rnacentral:rRNA from 1 species